rnacentral:misc_RNA from 1 species
GGGAUAUGUUUUUAUGUUGAGCUCUGGAGUUAUUUCUUGGUCUUCAAAGAAGCAACCUAUUGUUACUUUGUCGACUACCGAAGCAGAGUAUGUAGCUGCAACAUUAUGUGUUUGUCAGGCAGUUUGGCUAAGGAAUAUUCUUGAAGAACUACAUUUUAAGCAGGAUAGACCAACGUCAAUCUAUUGGAACAAUACUUCGACGAUUAAUCUUUCAAAGGAACUAGUUGAACAGGGAUGAAGUAAGCAUGUAGAUGUGAAGUGUCACUUCUUGCGUGAUCUGACUAAGGAUGCAAAGAGUAGUCUUAUUUAUUGUAGAAGUGAAGAUCAAGUUGCAGACAAGUUCAUAAAGCCCCUGAAAUUGGUGUCCUUUCUAAAGCUACGCGAUCAACUUG